rnacentral:lncRNA from 1 species
CGGUUCCAGAGGAGAAGGUAAAAUGCCAGCUGGCUGUUAGAGCACUGGAGUUUACAGUGAAGACAGCUGAAAUACUUCCCAGGUUCGGGGAGGAGGACUGGCAAACCCAGAGGCCAAAAAAGAUUCACCCUAAGCUACCAUCUAUUGCCAACUUCCUCUUUUUGUUUCCUCUCCGAAGCCCGACUGCAUGGUUGUGUAUCCUGGUUGUAAGUCCUUCUAGUUCUAUGUGAGCUGCUGCCACAGCACGGCUACUGACAGGUGAGUGGUGUGGUUCUGCGACUGGGAAAUGAACCCGGGCCAACAAAGCAGUGACAGCGCUGAACUUUAACCAGUUCGCCAUCAGGGCUGGCUCAGCAAAUUGCUUUUGCAUCUUUAAAAACCUGAAUUGCUUCUGAGAGUCCUGCUUACCAAAACAAAGUGUUUGUCAAAGCUAAUCUUUUAC